AUCAGCUUCCGCAACUGACGGAAUUAAGGUGGUUACCACCGGGGAACGGAAGAUUUAAUGAUAUAGCCGACCGUCUGGGCAUUUUAG
rnacentral:ncRNA from 2 species